GUUUCUCCCAAUAUUUUUAUUGCCCAUUACUUCCACUGGGCUGCCAGGUCAGGGAUGGUGGCAGGACAGGUGGGAGGAGGAGGGGACAGAAUGAUAACAUGGAAGCUACUUGAAGCCAUGCUUUUUCCAUCUCUUGUAAAAGCCUAAGGUUAUUUAAGAAACUGUGCUGGCUGCCCUGGAUGAAGAGAAGAGGACAAAAAGAGAAGAAAAGGAGUAUUUAUGAAGACAAGCAAGAAAGAGCACUGAUCUCCCGAGUGGCUAAUAAUGAACAAACACAUGGGAACUAGAGAACUGCACUGGGACUGCAAGAAUCACUGCAGCAAGGAAAAUGUGGAAUGCUGCUUCCAGAGUGGCCUUCUACAGUCACCAGUUGUGGAUGCUCCUCAGCAACACCUUCUGCUCUUCACUCUGGAGUUCACCGAGUUCUUGCUGUCAGCUCCUCCUCACGGUCCUCAACAAGCUCGUCCGUGUCUGCACCAUCAACAUCCAGACCCAUACUCUUCCCGAUGGACACAAUCCCCCCCACUAGCUGUGCCACAGGUGCCACACCUUGUGGCCACCGUUUCCUCCAGGCUGAGUUUCAAGGUCAGAAGUGUGACAUCUUCCUAGGUUUUGGCAACGAGGUUGAUGCAGUGGAGGACACUGAAAUGUUUUUCUCCCCCCCAGAACUCAGACUCAAGGACAUCCCUUCAGUGACAUUAAAACACUUGGUGAAGAGUGCCUUUGUGUACAGCUCCUUGAAGUUGCAGAUCACUUCCUGGUCCCAUGGGCUGCAGAAGAGGGGUUGUGUUGUUUUGGAGGAGCUUGACCUUUAUGAAGUCAACAUCCAUAUCACCCACCAAGGCUGGAGAGUGCCGGGGGCACUGUUCAUUAGAAGGAGGCACCUUUAAAGCACUUGGUUUUCAGAAAGCUAUUUCUUAACAGUGGGUGCGGACACCUCACGCUGUCAUUCUGUAAGCAGGUGCCUUGGGACCCCAGCUUUUGCAUUGCCCCUCCACAUGACAGGCGGUCUGGUCUUGUUCACAUUUUGUUCUCUGACUGCUCGAGGGAUCUGGGAAUGGUGCACCAGUGCUAGUUUAAUCUUCAAAUAAACACUUGUUUUCACACACAGCAAAAGGGUCAUUAUAUGCUUCAUGGGCUUGUACCCCACGAGUGCUUCUUUUUCCCUGUGUGAUAUAGAUUCUGAUUGGCACCUCCUUCUAGGAAAGCCCUGUUUCAUUUCAGGUGAACACUUGUUGAGUGAUGUUUUCUUGUGCCUUCAAGAAUUCUGCGAAUUUUCUUAUAGGCUUCUGCAGCGGCCUUGUUGGAAAUGGAAGCUUUACCAUGUCUCAUCACAUGGUGGAUGCCACUUCUCUUGUAGAAUUUAUCAAACUACCCUCUCCUGGCUUUAAUAAGUUCAUCACUUGUUGCACUUGGAAAGGGGUUUUCUUGCAGUAAAUCACUGUGCAGUUCCCUGGCUUUUUCACAGAUCACAGCUUCACUGACACUAUCACCUGCCAGCUGUUUCUCAUUCAGCCACACUAACGAAAGCCUUUCCACCUCUUCCGGCACUGUGUCCUCUGCUUGGUUAACAUUGUUCUUCUUUUGUCACAUCAGCUCCUUCGAUGGCGUCUUUACUUUUCAAAAUAGUCGAGACUGUCAACUUCAACGUCUUGUACGACAAAGCCAGGUCAGUCACACGAAUACUGUGCCCGUGAUUUUCUGCAAUUUCCUUCUUCACUUCCGUGGCUGUUUUCUUCAGGACCUUCUCCUUCCCAUCCUUGCCCUGCGUUUCUUAUUACCUUCUUCAUUCCUCUGCGUGUUCUUGUCACCUUCAUUACAGCUCCGCGCUUUUUACCCCAUGCUUGCUCUGCACUUUCUUUGGAGCUAUCCUGGGUUGAAUACUGCUGUACAGUACUUAAACAUGUCAAAAAGCUUUACGGAAAGUGUGUUCAGGUCUGUCUGCAACCACGAUCUCAACAAGGGGGAGCCACAACCACAUCUCAGAGUGGGUGAGAUCCCACGUUUGUGUUCAUGGGGGGAAGGCGGCCACGGUCAUGUUCGUUGUCCUAUACAGAGAUUGGGGAUGG
rnacentral:lncRNA from 1 species